CCCAGGUCGGCGCGCCCCUAAUGUCAGCGGGGAAAGUGCCCAAGUGGCUCUCCCAUCUCCCCCUUUCAAGUUAAACCCCUCCUCCCGGUGCGCAGUUGCUUGUGACCAACCUUAAACUUCCCUGACCCUAUUUCGGGAUGCUCAGGCUGUGCGGGCCAUUUGGGAUCCAGGGUGUCACCUGGGAAAGGCGCCCUCCUGCCCACUCCUGCCUUGCCCCUGCUCUUAAAACAUAUACGAAAUUCCUGGGCGGUUUCGUAGAGUUCGGGAAGGCGUUCCCCAGCUAACCUUUGGGUCUCGGCGUACGGAAAGGUUAAAUCUAUGAGGUGCUGGGGACCGUCACGGAAUUUAAACUCUGUCCGGUGGUCUCGUUCGCUCUGAGUUUUCCCCGGACUUCAGGAUUUCUUCCGACGAGCUGGACACUGGAAGGCUGCGGAAAGGGAACUGAACAGGAGGAACUCUCUUAUUGGGAUGGAUUUUUACACGCACGUCCCAGUUGAAGAAAGGAGAGGGGUCCAAGCAGAGCCGAACAGGAAUACAUGAGUGCGCUGUAAAAUGUGAUUUCGAGAAGGUUCCUUUUUGCGCCCCCCCUCAGUCACUGUGGCUUCAUUGUGGCUGCCUUCUGAAUGGCUGAAGAUAGAAAACUCUGGAAUGAAAAGGCGAGCUGCUGGGGCUUUAAAUUUUAACCCGUUUUCGAUCGAAAGUCACUACCACAAGAGACUGGCACGGGCCGGCCCAAUUCCCAGCACAGGUUCCAGCGGCUUGCUUUGGGUUGUUCGCUUGUUAUCUGGGCCACCCAAUGACCGACGAAAGAUCUUCCCUCCCCACGUCUCCCAUCGCCGCUUUAAACCAAAUAAAUUUAGCUAUUAAGGGACAAGACGUCUGACAAAAGAUCGAAAGGUGUCUCUCUGGGAUCGCUUAAAGAAGCGAAGAGGCUGGCGGCUCUCGAAUCCCGAUAAAGAAAUUCCACACCGGCGCCGGCCUCCCUCUCCAGCCUGCUUGCAUCCGACACCCUGAGAUCAGAACCUCCAAGGUCCAUUGGGACCUGUGGCUACAAUUGAGGCAAUAUCUAGGGUCCCGGGCCUGGGGAUGCUAGGCCUUGGGAGGGGGCACUGAGGUCCAGGAGCAGUAGGACCUAAAAUAUUCCUGCCAAGCUCCAGAAGAACCAAGGCCAAGGGAACCCAAAGUAGCAUUUAAUUUGUCUCUUGCCCCUCUUUCCUUGAGACAAAGCCCCAAGCUCAUGACCCUCUCAACUCAAGCCUGGGUUCCCUCUAUAUGUGAACCCGGCUUUUUAUUAUCUAGAUCAAUUAAGAACUCGAUUUAUACUGUCGAGUACCGGGAUUACAAGUGUAGCCUUGUCCUGCCGUUUUUAUUAUUUUCUAAUACUAAGCAAUAAAGACAAAGUCAGUCAUGCCUA